rnacentral:lncRNA from 1 species
AUCUCACUGAGCAGACUGGAUUCGAGAGGCUACAGGACGGUAACUGAUGGAGGAAUCCUGAGGGUGCUAUGCGGUGAAAGAAUUAUGCUAGAGGGGAAGAAGGGGAACAGAGGAUAUUAUUAUCUGGUAGGGAGCCCAGUACAAGGUAGAGCUUUAGAAGUCAGGUAGAGCUCAGAACGAGGUGGAGCUCCAGAUGGACAU